CAGUUCAGCGCGGGGCCCCGAGGAGAGCGGAUCCGUUUGGGUUUGUUCGUCUUUGCGGCGCUGCAAUGAACAGUUCUGUCAGAAGAGAAGUUUGAUAGCUUGUAGCCCGAGCUGCGGCCGCAGUCCUGCAAUGAGACCUCAGCACCUGCUUGCAGCCACUGCGCUGCUGUCAGGCGGCUUCGCUGCAUCAGAGCACCCGAACUUCGGUUUGAUAAGCUGUCCUGCCCCCUGUGAGAGAUUGUGCUCUACAAGCAAUUCUAGGCCACAAAGAUCAUAAGAAGUUCUGAAGCGUUGGAAGUGUGCAUGUCUUGACAAUGAGAGAAGUGAGAAGUUCCUGGGAAACUCAAGGAAAAUGUGGAUAUCAAGAUUAUCACUGCUUACACAAGAAAUUAAAAAUGUUUCACUUUUGACUCAUUUAA